GAUCUGUGCUCGUCUUCGUCACCCCAUAUUAUGUAGCUCACUGAACGAUACAUGCAGUUGCCAUCCCCAAAUAUUUUAUACACGCUGAAAGUACCUUCGGGAGAUUCGAACUGGUCCGUAAUUUCUUGAUGAUGAGAAAAAAAAGAAACAUUGUCAAAAUCAACCUGCGACGAGAAUCGUUGAAUUCGGCCGAAAGAUACGCAUAUACGUUGAGAAUAAUUGAGUAAAGUGAUCGGUCGAUGAAGGGGAAUCCUACAAAUUCCAGCUGAUUGUCGCAAUUCGUACAGAACGUAACGAGUGACGACUCCGGGGAGUGGAUGGUUUUUCAGGGAAAUUAUUUUUCAAUUUCCUUCGGCCGUCGUAUAGCUUGUUGCAGUUAUAAUCACUCGCCGGGAAGAAAAUAGAUUGGCUUCUUUUUCCUCUGCCACUGUCACCUCUGUCACAAUUACGAGCAUACGUAACCUCAACGGGACAACGCAGAGGUUUGCUUUUCUUCUUCAGCCGCGCAGAAUUGAACUGACUAUCUACAAGAAAUAUAAAUGACCUACUAUUGAAAUAGAUUUUCACCUAUUUUUCUGAAAAUUCGAAACUUAUUAAGUUGAUGCCAACAGAAGAUAACCCCUAAAAGUAAACCAAACUGUUCGGUGAGUCUAGAUUAAUUAUUAAUGUUACCAACCGUUCGCUCGUAUUUGAGCGUAUAAAUUUAUGCACCAAAUGCAGGGCGAACAAAGCGUGCCCAAGAGCGCCAACGACUGGAAGCUGCGAUCGUCCAGUUUAAUUUCUUCGGAACUCAAAAAUCGAAGAAGACCACUACGCUUUACGUUCUUCCUCUGCGUUUAAUUUUUCAUUAAUUUCGUUCAACAGCCGCAGUGAAGUACCCGGGACAAAAUAUAAGUGAAUAAAUGUCGAAGCGGCGGAAGAUGCUCGCUACCAUCAUUGCUAGAACAGAUAGUGAUUCAUGAUAAGAGUAGUUGUGCAAAUUUAUAAUUUUCAAUUGAAUUUUCUGGCUUGAGGGCCCAAGAACUCGCGGUUGCAGCUUUGGUAAAAAACAUACGUCGGAGCGUAACACGAUAAAUGCGAGUGUCAGUUUAUUCUGCUGUUAGUAUUCCUGCAGAAUCUAAUGAAGUGAGCUCGAAUUUUGCAACAAUUAUAAAUUCUGAUAACGAUAUUUCGCAAUCUGCGGGUAAUAACAAUCAAAAACAUGAAGUCUAACGAAUCCGUAAACCGAUCCGUGUUGUCGUCCGGGUCAAUUUAUCGAUACGUCUGCAUGAAAUGAGUAAUCAAUUAAUUUUUUUAAAUCGUUGAUUUCACUGUGCUUUAUUGGCAUAAAUAUACACGUAUGUUCCUUGUUCAUUGAUAACAGAUAAAAAUAUCUGAUUUUAUGUUUAUCUUCAACGUUUGAGUUGUGCCUGUAUGUCAAUUCUGUUACCAAUAUACGGUAUGAAUAUGUCUGUAUCCUGGUUACUAAUAAAUACAGUAAAACGUUUAUUCUAUACCCUUGUAACUAAAUUUUCAAUGCCUCCAAUAGUUACAACCCGUGCAAUAUAUGUAGAUUUUUCUAUUACUUUUGUGAUAAUGUUUGCCUAAGGUUUACCGGGUUUUGUUGCAGCAUGGAUUCAAGUAUUUAUAAAAAGUAUGAAUUUUUUAAUUUCAAAUAAAUAUCUACAAAGAAUAUUUUUAUGUGAAAAAGCCUCAGCUUGCCGAUGAAAAUGCACUGGCUUCCAAUAAGACUCGAUAAUUUGACGUAAUUGUAUGAAAAACUGAUUUUCUGUAUCCGCCCCCUUUUCGCUAGCGAUGAAAAUAUUAAUCAUGUAUCUUAGUCUUAUAAGGACAUAAGUUACAUAUAAGUAUAGCUUUACUGUAUUGUACUAAAGGUACUGAAACGUUGUUAAAUAAAUAAUACUCUAUCGAUGUUAUAAACGUUGCCGUAAGAGUUAUAUUUUUGUCGAGAAAAACUUGUAUUUCGAGUGCUCAAUCAUUGUAAAUAAAAAUAUGCGAGUAAGCGAAAAAAUGUAUAGGACUGAAUAUACGCCUCUCGACAAGACCUGCAGCUUUGAUGUCUACAUGUUUCGUCAGAAAACUCAUAUCUAUGGAGAUAUUCGGCAAAACCAACUUUUUUGUUCUGAAAAAAUGCUUCAGAGGUCGUAACAAUUGAUUUAAAAUUUUGAAUUCUUUUUUGGGAGCUUUUUUUAACAUUUCUCACAAAUAGGGGCAUGGAAUUUGAAGUAGGUCGAUUCCUUCGCAAUGACACUGGUAGAAAUUGUUUAAAUAUUUAAGUUAUUUUUUAGCGGUCUUCUGCGUUGCAUUCGGCGUGGAAAGAAGUAAUCGAAAAAAAAUCACUGGCCCGAUCGGACUUUUCCGUCACAUACACGAAUUGAUGGGUGUACCCUCCCCUUAAAACCCUUGGCCGUUAAAGCUCGCUCGGGGUCGGUACGCCUAGUAUGGUUGAUUUUUAUGCUCGUUCGCUCGCUACGCUCGCUCAUUCAAUUGGAUAAGCCUUACUUUUAGUGGUUUACCCUAUGUUCGUAAAAUAGUGAAAUUUAACUGACUACCUGAUAAUAUUACUCGUAUACAUCGUAAUAUAUAUAGCAUAAAUAAUUUCCUCUCAAACUGCGUGACAUAAUUUUUUGUUUGUUGCCGUGUGAAAUACGCCAUUUUGACGCUCUGAAAAAUCGCACCAGGUUAAAGCCACAUCUCCACUAUACUUACAGUAUACCAUUCGUCUGAUUAUGUACUAUAUUAGCAACUCACCGACAGGUGUGUUUUCGUUAUUUUCAAUUUUCUUCGAUUGUUCCUGUACUUCUAGAUUGGUUCCUAAAACGUAUGUAGAUACAUACAUGUUGCUUUGUUAGUGAAAUAUACUCAACGAAUAACAUUAUUGACAAUAAAUUGAACUCACCUUGGAACUCACUAAACAAAUGUCCCCACGAUCUUACCGUACGUACCGUACUCCACGGCUGUUUGGAUAUCAACUAAGAUCGACGCCGGCAAUUUUCAAUGAAUAUGAGUUAAUACACAGGCGGACGAAUCAUAAAUGAUAUAUCUUAUGUACAAGGAUUACUGAUUACUAUUAAAUAUAUACACUACACACUGACAUGUAGGUAUAUAUCACCAGCAUACUUUCUUUAUCCUAUCUAAGAAAAGAGGAUUUCUCAAGGAACGUAAUAUUUUGCAAAAUCUACGUCCUCGUAAACUUCAAGUACGAAAAUAUCGUUAUAAGAUUUAUUGAGGAACACAUCAAUUAUUAUACAUUAGUUACCGUGUAUCAUACAUACCGUGGGUUUUUUUAUUAUCGAAAUAAUCAUGCGUCUAGGGCAGACCACCGAAGUUACAGCUCACAUUACAAUCCAUGAGCGUUUUUUUGAUAGAAUAGCAUAAUGUGGUCACCACCGAAAACGUGAUUUCAGUGGUACAAUCGCGUAUGAUAUGAAGAC
rnacentral:lncRNA from 1 species